UUACGGCCAUAUCACGUUGAAACACUGGUUCCUGUACGAUCACCAAAGUUAAGCAACAUCGAAGCUGGUCAGUACCUAGAUGCAUGACCGCUUGGAAGUACCAGGUGC